rnacentral:rRNA from 1 species
ACAUGCAAGUCGAGCGAACAGACGAGGAGCUUGCUCCUCUGACGUUAGCGGCGGACGGGUGAGUAACACGUGGAUAACCUACCUAUAAGACUGGGAUAACUUCGGGAAACCGGAGCUAAUACCGGAUAAUAUAUUGAACCGCAUGGUUCAAUAGUGAAAGACGGUUUUGCUGUCACUUAUAGAUGGAUCCGCGCCACAUUAGCUAGUUGGUAAGGUAACAGCUUACCAAGGCAACGAUGCGUAGCCGACCUGAGAGGGUGAUCGGCCACACUGGAACUGAGACACGGUCCAGACUCCUACGGGAGGCAGCAGUAGGGAAUCUUCCGCAAUGGGCGAAAGCCUGACGGAGCAACGCCGCGUGAGUGAUGAAGGUCUUCGGAUCGUAAAACUCUGUUAUUAGGGAAGAACAAAUGUGUAAGUAACUAUGCACGUCUUGACGGUACCUAAUCAGAAAGCCACGGCUAACUACGUGCCAGCAGCCGCGGUAAUACGUAGGUGGCAAGCGUUAUCCGGAAUUAUUGGGCGUAAAGCGCGCGUAGGCGGUUUUUUAAGUCUGAUGUGAAAGCCCACGGCUCAACCGUGGAGGGUCAUUGGAAACUGGAAAACUUGAGUGCAGAAGAGGAAAGUGGAAUUCCAUGUGUAGCGGUGAAAUGCGCAGAGAUAUGGAGGAACACCAGUG